rnacentral:rRNA from 1 species
CCCUUAGAUGCUCUGGGCCGCACGCGCGCUACACUGGUCGAUGCAACGAGUUUCUUUCCUUGGCCGACAGGCCUGGGCAAUCUUUGAACAUCGAUCGUGAUCGGGAUAGAUUCUUGUAAUUUUUGAUCUUAAACGAGGAAUUCCUAGUAAACGCAAGUCAUCAGCUUGCAUUGAUUACGUCCCUGUCCUUUGUACACACCGCCCGUCGCACCUACCGAUUGAAUGGUCCGGUGAAAUCUCCGGACUGGCGUGAGUCGGAGCAAUCUGACAAACGCCGGAAAGUUGAUUAAACCUUACCAUUUAGAGGAAGGUGAAGUCGUAACA